UCCACUGGGUCUAAUGAGUUCCUCGGCAGAUAUUGCUAAAUGGAUGCUGAUGCAGCUGAACGGCGGUAAAAUGAGAAUGGUGAUGUGGUUAUAGAUCCAGCCGACCUCGCCCAGACCCACUCACCACAGACAGCAUUAAGAUCGUCUACCGUGGAGAGACAACUUCCAUAAACCAAAGGCGCCUUUCACAGUCACGGACACAACUUACGCUUUUGGAUGGAAAAACGGAUUUUAUAAAGAAUAAAAGAUGUUACGGCAUACUGGAACAACAUACGGGUACUCCUCCUUAAUAAUUCUACUGCCGGAUGCAAACCUUGGUGUGUUCAUCAGCAUGACAGGGGAAAAUGAAGGUUAUAUAACCCGUACUCUUAUACACAGUUAUCUUUUGGACACGUUUCUCGGCGUAGAGCCCACAAUUAAUGUGACAACAGUUUGUACAUACCCCGAGCCCUGGUACAGAAGCAGUCAUUCCUUGAGGGCGCCGAUAGACAAGACUAUACAAC
rnacentral:lncRNA from 1 species